UUCGCAAUGCCCGAAAGGGUGACGAUGCGACGCCGCGUGAGCGAAGAAGGCCCUAGGGUUGUAAAGCUCUGUCGAGGGUUAUGAAAUAUAGAUGGGUUAAUACCCCAUUUAUUUGACAAAAGCCCAAAAGGAAGCCACGGCUAACUCUGUGCCAGCAGCCGCGGUAAUACAGAGGUGGCGAGCGUUGUUCGGUAUUAUUGGGCGUAAAGAGCACGUAGGUGGUUUUGUAAGUCAGGUGUGAAAGCCUUCUGUUCAAAGGAAGAACGGCAUCUGAAACUGCAGAUCUUGAGUGUAGGAGGGGAGAGUGGAACUUCUGGUGGAGCGGUGAAAUGCGUAGAUAUCAGAAGGAACGCCGGCGGCGAAAGCGACUCUCUGGCCCGAAACUGACGCUGAGGUGCGAAAGCUAGGGGAGCAAACGGGAUUAGAUACCCCGGUAGUCCUAGCCGUAAACGAUGGGCACUAAGUAGAGGGGUUUU
rnacentral:rRNA from 1 species